GUCGCAGGUUCGAAUCCUGCACGACCCACCAAUUUCAGCAUUUAACUCAGAUGCUGAACGUGAAGGAUAACGUUGCGUCAGCAACGGCCCGAAGGGCGAGGCAAAGCCGAGUCAUCCUGCACGACCCACCA
rnacentral:sRNA from 1 species